rnacentral:rRNA from 1 species
UACGGAAGGCAGCAGUGGGGAAUAUUGCACAAUGGGCGAAAGCCUGAUGCAGCUAUGCCGCGUGUAUGAAGAAGGCCUUAGGGUUGUAAAGUACUUUCAUCGGGGAGGAAAACAAAACUAAUAAUUUUAUUUCUUGACGUUACCCGAAAAAGAAGCACCGGCUAACUCCGUGCCAGCAGCCGCGGUAAUACGGAGGGUGCUAGCGUUAAUCAGAAUUACUGGGCGUAAAGAGCACGUAGGUGGUUUUUUAAGUCAGAUGUGAAAUCCCUGGGCUUAACCUAGGAACUGCAUUUUGAAACUGAAAUACUAGAGUAUCGUAGAGGGAGGUAGAAUUCUAGGUGUAGCGGUGAAAAUGCGUAGAUAUCUGGAGGAAUACCUGUGGCGAAAAGCGGCCUCCUAAAACGAAUAACUGACACUGAGGUGCGAAAAGCGUGGGGAGCAAAACAGGGAUUAGAUACC